rnacentral:rRNA from 1 species
UACAGAGGGUGCGAGCGUUAAUCGGAAUUACUGGGCGUAAAGCGCGCGUAGGCGGCUUUGCAAGCCAGAUGUGAAAUCCCCGGGCUUAACCUGGGAAUGGCAUUUGGGACUGCAAGGCUUGAGUGCGGCAGAGGAGACUGGAAUUCCUGGUGUAGCAGUGAAAUGCGUAGAUAUCAGGAGGAAUACCGAUGGCGAAGGCAGGUCUCUGGGCUGACACUGACGCUCAUGCACGAAAGCGUGGGGAGCAAACAGG